rnacentral:rRNA from 1 species
UACAGAGGUCUCAAGCGUUGUUCGGAUUCAUUGGGCGUAAAGGGUGUGUAGGUGGCGCGCUAAGUCGGGUGUGAAAUUUCGGAGCUUAACUCCGAAACUGCAUUCGAUACUGGCGUGCUUGAGGACUGGAGAGGAGACUGGAAUUCAUGGUGUAGCAGUGAAAUGCGUAGAGAUCAUGAGGAAGACCAGUGGCGAAGGCGGGUCUCUGGACAGUACCUGACACUGAGACACGAAGGCCAGGGGAGCAAACCGG